UGGGAUUUGAUGCUAGUUACAGGAGGUGG
rnacentral:piRNA from 1 species